AUGCCUUAUGUUGUAUUUGCUUAUGAACUUCUUGAUGCAACUAGUACGUUAGCUUGUGAUAUGUUGAAGCAUGGCAUGAAUACACGGGGGAUGAAGUUUCUAGAAGAGAGCAGGUUUUCAUGUGAACUGACUUGGUUGUACAGGACAUCCGGUUUAUUAUGCAAAUCAAGGUUUGAUGACAGUGGAGAUGCACCUCUUGGAACUAUGGAAGCUUGGAGCAAAGAUAAUUGCAAGCAUGAAGACAACUUUCACAUGUUAUUUAAACAUUGCAUUACUAUUUGUAAUAGCCUUUAG